rnacentral:lncRNA from 10 species
AGAAACAAGCUCAGGGUUCCCACUGGUUCUACAUUAUGGCCAUCAAGCUCCAGAUGAUCCUCAGUGAGGGAUACCGCUCUCUCAGUAUUCAAGAGUCACCCUUCCACAGAGAAGCCCUAGACUGCCCAUCAGUGGAAUAUGAGAGAGCCUGCACCAGAUGCAACUCCUAUAGAAGAGGGAAAUCCUGAACUGACUGAGCGAACUCUCAGAAUUGACCAUGAUUCACAUUUUUACCCUUGACGGAAAAAGGAUUCAAGGAACACAUUACAUUUCUGUUUUAGAAAAAUAAAGUUGUAUUUUUGCAUACCUG